UAGGGAAGAUUACAGUUUAUUAAAAGAUUAUACUUGAAGAUAAACUUUGUCAAGCCAAAUAGGGAAUAAAUUGAAGAUUUGUUUAAAUCAAGCUAUGGAUUACCAUAUUUUUAAAGCAAAAAAUUAAUGAAACCAAAUGCGUAAAAUGGGAACUUUUAAAAAGGACUUUAUUUCAAAUCUAAGGUUCUUCUAUGGUAAAUAAGAAGAAUAAGCAUCAAUCUGUUUGCUAGGGACAUAAACGAUUAACUGCUAAUCGCAGUUUUCAAUGUACAAACUGGAGCAUUAGAAAGUGAAAAUAAGCUGAAAGAAAUCGUAAUUCUACACACUAAAAUACCUUCGUCAAGAUACAGCUUGUAGUUUGGACAAAUAUCUGAUCCGGUUGCUGAGUAAAUUGAUAGCAGCUGAGCUAAAGAUGCUUCGCAUGACAGCAGGAGUAACAAUACUUGACCGAAUUAGAAGCAUGAAAAUCUGAGGGAGACUUCACGUCAGAAAUACCUUCUUGGAUAAAAUUCAGCACAACUGACUUAGCUGGUACAGAUAAGAAACUUUGCAAACCAUUGAAAAAAAAAUUGAAAUUGUAACUAAAAGGGAAAAAAUCUAAUUA